UACAGAGGGUGCGAGCGUUAAUCGGAAUUACUGGGCGUAAAGCGUGCGUAGACGGUUAUUUAAGUCGGGUGUGAAAGCCCCGGGCUCAACCUGGGAAUGGCCGUUGAAACUGGCGAACUGGAGUGUGGCAGAGGGGGGUGGAAUUCCGCGUGUAGCAGUGAAAUGCGUAGAGAUGUGGAGGAACACCGAUGGCGAAGGCAGCCCCCUGGGCUAACACUGACGCUCAGGCACGAAAGCGUGGGGAUCAAACAGG
rnacentral:rRNA from 1 species